CUAUUCAGAGGUUUGGAUAUUUCAACUUUAUUUAUACUUCAUUCCAGUGAUAUUACUAGAAAUUACUUUUAGGAGACUUAUAAUUUUAGAAGGCUUGCACAAAAAAUUUUCUUGAUUUCAAAGUUUCAGAGUUCUUACAUAAAAUGACUAAUUCUUAAUCUCUCAUUAACAACAGACAAUCUAAUAAUAGAGAGAGGUAGAAAUGAUAGCAUGGGAGGUUUGAAAGAUAUCUAAUAUUAGUGCUAUAGUUAUUAGGAUGCUCCUCUUAUCAAAUUCAAUAGAUUUUUUCCUUACGAUUCUCGUAUGGGAAAGCAGUCUCCACAAGUUCUUUCUUUUCUUCUUUCAGAGUCUGUGCAUGUAAUGAGGUUUCUUCAUUUCUGAUAAACUAAAAAUCAGUGCAGUAACAGAUGUAUAAGUAUUAUAAGGAGGAUUCCAUUAUUCUGCAGUCUUUCUAUCUUACAUGUACUUGUUUUUUAAUUUUCCCGGUCUUAAUCUUUUACUUUGAUCACUGUGUUGCUUUUGAGAUUCCUAUGCUGUGAUCUGCACAGCAGAAACCUCUCUCUCUUCUAUCCCACCUUGAACAAUGUUGUACGAUGGCCUUUCUUCAAGAACAUUUGUUGCUUUUUUUGAUAUGGACUGAGGAAGAGAAAGACAAUGCCCUUUUAGUGACCGGUGCAGUCCUUUGGUUUAAUUUUUCUCCAGUUCUGGAAAAAAAAUAUUGUUCUCAAGAGACCACCAAGUUAGCUCAGAAGUGGCUACCAUGUGAGCUGACUAUUUAUUCUAAUUCAGUGAGAUCAGAAGAGAUUUGAAGGUGUAGCUGUUACUAUUCCUGAGAUUAAACAUGACGGAAUCCUCAAAGAAGAAAGAUUUCAAAGCCUGUUUGUACACAGUGACAGCACUAACUGUUGAAACAAGGAAGCAGAAUUUUUAUAAUCAAUUACAUGUACUUAAUCAUGUGACACUAAUGAAGUUAUAUAGUAUGAAGCUAGCAUAUAACAUAGUUGUUUGUCUUGAAAUUCUAACAACAGC